AAAAUGUGAUGUCGACACGUGUGGAUGUGUUACAGGCCCAGCUGUAGAGGCGCAGCCAGAUUACCAUCCUGUAAGACAGGAGAGAGAGUGAACACAGGAAACACGCUGCUGUUCGCCUGGUCAGUCGUACCAGAACCACAAGCUCACAGCAGCUGUGCGCACAACUCAGUCCCCACAGCACUCUGCUGCCCUCUGCUGUCCAGAGUCAUGUGACCUCCCCUGUAAUGCAAAACUAGUCUGACUGUGUGAACCUCAUUAUACCAGUAAACCAGCAAAGUGACACAUGCACAAUUACCUCCAUAUAUCACACCACUUAACUCACAGUUGUGACCACAUGUUUGUGUGGAUCACAGACGGCAGGUCCUAGGAGGUUAAGAUCAAACUACCUGCUGCUUCUCUCAUGUUUGUAUCAGAGGAGCUUCUGAUUAUAUACAGCUUUAAGCACUGAACGCACGUCUUAACUUUGCUAUUGUUCUGUAUUUAAUAUAUUUACUUUUAAUGCAUGUUACAGUAGUGGAUGAUGAGGUUUCAUGUUUUUAAUGUAACUUUCUGAUCUGUUGACUCAGUUCGUGCAGUUUUCAUGGACUUUGUGUUUCUCAUGUUUUUACUGUAAAAGUGCCUUCAGAUGGUUGUUGUUUCCUGCUGCUUCAUGAAUAAUCCUGCAGUGAAACUGAAUCUGAGCUGGACCCAAACAAACCUCACUGAGCUGAUGUGUAAACUGGAUCUAAGCAAGAAUCAAACUGCAUUAAAAACCUGACAGAAAACCUGCUCACUGACUUUCUCUCACUUUGACUCUGAAACUGUAACGAGAGACAACAUUUAGACAUUAAUUGUAAUUACAACAAGUUUGUACAGCUGUAGUCUCUUGAUGCUACGAACAGAAAACAAAAAAUAAAUAACUUGGUCAUAAAAAGGUGUCGGUGUAGCUGGCUCAACCAGGAUUUUGCACAAGGGCUCAGACAGCUGUGUUCAUGGUCGUACCUCAGUAUUUAUAGAGUCAGUGACCAAUCUAGAACUGGUUCUAUGUUCCCAUCAGGAAAAGAAAACAACUCACGUUUUCCAUCAGACAUCUUUGUGAAACCCACAGAAGCACACGAGAAGAUCAAGUGAGACCAAAGUUUAUUGAACCUGCAGAGAAACCAGAUCACUGCUGUGGAGACGACAGCACACUUAGAAAUAACAUAAAUAACAGCAAAGUUACUGAAGACAUGAAAACAUGGAUUACAUCUACAUUUUAGUUACAUAACACUUAUUAUUGUUUAUGUAUAAUUCAUGUCUUGGUCAUGCUUUUAUUCUGAAAGGCCUGGUGAAGAAAAUGUUAUUUUUUAACAUAAAAAUUAAAAAUUUUCAUUCACAUUUUUCCAACUUCUUUAUAAAAGAAAACAAUAACAACAACUUUCCAUUUGAACUUUCUGCCCUCAGUGGUUGUGUGAGGUUUCCUUCAUGAGGAGAACAAACAGAAUAUAAACCAGUGUGUUUGCAGUGAAUGUGUCAGGUCUGAGCUGCUGUGUGGACCAGUUAGAGAGCAGCAGCUGGAUUCCAGUGGUUGGACUGGUGGACGACUUCAGUGAGGAGUCGAUGACAUUUGGCUCUGGUAGAAACUCUGCACACACAAACACACAGGAGGAGAA